rnacentral:rRNA from 1 species
AGUGAACGCUGGCGGCGUGCCUAAUACAUGCAAGCCGAACGGAAUUUAAAAGAGCUUGCUCUUUUAAAUUUAGUGGCGCACGGGUGAGUAAUAUAUAGCUAAUCUGCCCCUUGCUGGAGGACAACAGUUAGAAAUGACUGCUAAUACUCCAUACUCCUUUUUACCAUAAGAUAAAUCGGGAAAGAAUUUCGGCAAGGGAUGAGACUAUAUCGUAUCAGCUAGUCGGUGGGGUAACGGCCUACCGAGGCUAUGACGCGUAACUGGUCUGAGAGGAUGAUCAGUCACAUUGGAACUGAGACACGGUCCAAACUCCUACGGGAGGCAGCAGUAGGGAAUAUUGCGCAAUGGGGGAAACCCUGACGCAGCAACGCCGCGUGGAGGAUGACACUUUUCGGAGCGUAAACUCCUUUUGUUAGGGAAGA